rnacentral:tRNA from 1 species
UCUCUAGUGGCUCAGCUGGUAAAGAAUCUGCCUACAAUGCAGGAGAUCCAGGUUCAGUCCCUGGGUGGGGAA